rnacentral:rRNA from 1 species
CGGUAGCUACGGCGAGUGAGCGGCAAGAGCUCAAAUUUGAAAGCUGGCCCCCUCGGGGCCCGCAUUGUAAUUUGCAGAGGAUGCUUCGGGCGUGGCCCCUGUCUAAGUGCCCUGGAACGGGCCGUCAGAGAGGGUGAGAAUCCCGUAUGGGAUGGGGUGCCCACGCCCGUGUGAAGCUCCUUCGACGAGUCGAGUUGUUUGGGAAUGCAGCUCUAAAUGGGUGGUAAAUUUCAUCUAAAGCUAAAUAUUGGCCGGAGACCGAUAGCGCACAAGUAGAGUGAUCGAAAGAUGAAAAGCACUUUGAAAAGAGAGUUAAAAAGCACGUGAAAUUGUUGAAAGGGAAGCGCUUGCGACCAGACUCGCCCCAGGGGUUCAACCGGCUUUCGGGCCGGUGUACUUCCCCCGGGGCGGGCCAGCGUCGGUUUUGGCGGCCGGUCAAAGGCCCCUGGAAUGUAACGCCCCCCGGGGCGUCUUAUAGCCAGGGGUGCCAUGCGGCCCGCCGGGACCGAGGAACGCGCUUCGGCUCGGACGCUGGCAUAAUGGUCGUAAGCGACCCGUCUUAAAAACAGGGAAC